ensembl:lncRNA
GGGAUGGUGCUGAAGUGGACGCCGUGUGAACUUCACCAGCAAUGGCUCCAAUCUGACAUUAACGCAGUCCUAUCUAAAAUGGCAGUUGGAGAUAUACCUGAGAGAAAGAUGGAGGUGGAAGACAUGAAGGAAGAGACACUCUGGAAAGAUGGAGGGGGAGGACAGGGCUUCUAUUAAGGAGAAGGAGACCGCUGGAAAUAUGGGGCAGGAGGACAGCGCCUCUGUCCAGGAGGCCUGUAGAAAGAUGGACAACGAGGACAGGGCCUCUGAGCUCAAAGACUAUUUCACUGCUCUUGAGGAGAACCGCAGAAACAUGCAGAAUCUCCUGCAAGAGCAGAAAGAAGAGUAUGAGAUGGAGUUGAGGGCUCUGGAGAGGGAGAGUGUGCAGGAGAGAGAGAUGCGGAAUAGAAAUGAGGCCCUGAAGAGGGAGAGAGAGAUGCGGAAUAGAAAGGAGGCUCUGGAGAGGGAGAGAGAUGCGGGAAAGAGAGGAAGCCCUGCUGUCCACUUUUAUUUCCGUUGUUGUCUGCAAGGACAAGCUCAUGAAAGACCUGAGGAUCCAGAUGGACAGACCGAGUCCAUCUAAGGUGUGCGAGGCACAAUGGGGCCAUUUUCAAACACAUGGGGCCACUGGCACUGCAGUGGUCACACUCCAGGAUGCUUAUUAAAGCGCUAUACCUCAACAAAUUACGGAGAGUGACCUGCAGGGGAACAAAAGGCUGGAGGACCGGGGCAAAGCUGAACUGAAGAAAAAGGAGAAAGCCCUUCAACAGGCAGAGAAGAAAAGAAUGCGAAUAUUCUUCUGUAAAAGAAGCAAUUGAAUAAUGA